rnacentral:rRNA from 1 species
ACUGGAGUUUGAUCCUGGCUCAGGACGAACGCUUGCGGCGUGCCUAAGAAAUGCAAGUCGAACGGGGACUUCGGUCCUAGUGGCGAACGGUCGCGUAACACGUAAGCAACCUGCCCUGAAGUGGGGGGACAACAUCCCGAAAGGGGGUGCUAAUACCGCAUGUGGUCACGAGUCGGCAUCGACUUGUGUCUAAAGAUUUAUCGCUUCAGGAUGGGCUUGCGGCCUAUCAGGUAGUUGGUGGGGUAAUGGCCUACCAAGCCGACGACGGGUAGCUGGUCUGAGAGGAUGAUCAGCCACGACUGGGACUGACGACACGGCCAGACUCGUAC